GCCUGGGUGGCUCAGUUGGUUAAGUGCCUGACUUCAGCUCAGGUCACGAUCUUGUGGUUGGUGGGUUUGAGCCCCGUGUCGGGCU
rnacentral:tRNA from 1 species